GAUUAACGCUAGCGGCAGGCAUAAUACAUGCAAGUUGAACGGCAGCACAGGUAGCAAUACUGGGUGGCGAGUGGCGCACGGGUGCGUAACACGUAUGCAACCUACCCUAUACAGGCGAAUAACCUUUAGAAAUGAGGGCUAAUACGCCGUAGUAUUACAGAUGGGCAUCUAUUUGUAAUUAAAGAUUUAUCGGUAUAGGAUGGGCAUGCGUCCCAUUAGUUAGUUGGUAAGGUAACGGCUUACCAAGACGAUGAUGGGUAGGGGAUCUGAGAGGACUUACCCCCACACUGGUACUGAGACACGGACCAGACUCCUACGGGAGGCAGCAGUAAGGAAUAUUGGGCAAUGGCCGCGAGGCUGACCCAGCCAUGCCGCGUGCGGGAAGACGGCCUUAUGGGUUGUAAACUGCUUUUAUACGGGAAUAAUAGAGUGUACGCGUACAUUUAUGCAAGUAUCGUAUGAAUAAGCAUCGGCUAACUCCGU
rnacentral:rRNA from 1 species